UCUAGAAUAUUACCCCGCCCCCAACCUGUUUUCCUCACACCCCGUUAUUUCCUCACCGCCUGCACGACCUUACACUCCCCUCCCCCUUAGCCCAUUAGCAGACGCCGGUCCCCAGGGGCUGCUGCCUCCGGUGGAGAAUAUCUUUCCCAUCAAUUCCAGAGCCGUUGUCUGUUGUCCGAUGCGUUCCCACCUGUUACUCCAAUAAAAAGUGGAAACCACAGUGUGCAGUAGACCCACUCUGUAAGGUGCUUUGUGAGUUUUUCUGGAUGUGUCGUAAUAUCACCAUGAGGCAGAGAUGGCACGGUCUCCCAUUUGUAGGUGCUGAAUAAGGAAAUGAACGAUGCUAGAAUCUGGAGACUGGCUGAAAAGGAAACCUGUUUGCCUGAUACCUGGAAACGGACAAAAGAAGCUAAAAAGCAAGACACAGAUAUGGUCUUGGUGGUCUUUUCAGACCCUUCAGAUUUUUUACAUGAGACCUUUGUGCUAGGUCCAAUUCCUGAAGCUGCUGUUUCUUCCUACUCUCUCUUGCUGUACCAGUAAAUUCCCAUGAGACUGACUCUUGCCUGGGAUGUUUGUAUAUAUGAUUUGUUGCACAAAUGUUUACUGAUCACCUGCUGUGUGUGUGACACUAUC